GUCUAUGGUCAUACCUGAAUGUUCCUGAUCUCAUCUGAUCUCCCAAGCUAAGCAGGGUCAGGCUUGGUGAGUGCUUGGAUGGGAGAUUAAUCACAGGUC
rnacentral:rRNA from 1 species